UACGGGGGGAGCAAGCGUUGUUCGGAUUUACUGGGCGUAAAGGGCGCGUAGGCGGGCGCGACAAGUCACUUGUGAAAUCUCUGGGCUCAACCCAGAACGGUCAAGUGAUACUGUCGUGCUAGAGUGCGGAAGGGGCAACUGGAAUUCUUGGUGUAGCGGUGAAAUGCGUAGAUAUCAAGAGGAACACCUGCGGCGAAGGCGGGUUGCUGGGCCGACACUGACGCUGAGGCGCGAAAGCUAGGGGGAGCGAACGGG
rnacentral:rRNA from 1 species